rnacentral:rRNA from 1 species
UACAGAGGGCUCAAGCGUUGUUCGGAUUCAUUGGGCGUAAAGCGCAUGUAGGCGGCGAUUCAAGUCGGGGGUGAAAUCCCAGGGCUCAACCCUGGAACUGCCUUCGAUACUGUUUUGCUUGAGUGUGGAAGAGGUUGGUGGAACUGCAAGUGUAGAGGUGAAAUUCGUAGAUAUUUGCAAGAACACCGGUGGCGAAGGCGGCCAACUGGGCCAUUACUGACGCUGAGAUGCGAAAGCGUGGGGAGCGAUCCGG